UUCAGAAAGAAUGCCCUUGUGCAGUCGACUUCUCCUAGUAAUGGCAACGCUGACUAUCACGUGCCUGGUAUUGUCACAUCAGCUUCCCGUUGACUGUAACAAGCCUCUUGAACACAUGCAGGGUGAAAUAAUAGACAUGUACAUCCAGUGUGUUAAAUCAUUGACCAGCGACCAAAGGUAUGGAAAACGAUCUUCACCGAAUCACAGUACCUUCCUGAAGAAACUUCAUCCUCGGCUUUUCCAGAACUUCGCUUACCAACCCAGCCAGAACCUUCAGAAUUUGCAAGAUUUCUACCAACUUUUCAAACAGGAUAACAACUAAUAAUAUCAAGAUAGCCUAAAACUUUUUUUAUUUCAAUCUUAACCACUCAAUAAAAUUGUGCAGUAUUAUUUUAUACGGUUGACUGGUGUGUCAUUUUUCUUUUGUUAUUUUGGUAUGGCUUAUUUAUGGUUGAUAGUUCAAGGAAGAUGAUAAAAUAAAUGAAUUGAAUUUUU